rnacentral:rRNA from 1 species
AUGCCAGCUUGCUGGUGGAUUAGUGGCGAACGGGUGAGUAACACGUGAGUAACCUGCCCUUAACUCUGGGAUAAGCCUGGGAAACUGGGUCUAAUACCGGAUAUGACCUUCCAUCGCAUGGUGGUUGGUGGAAAGCUUUUUGUGGUUUUGGAUGGACUCGCGGCCUAUCAGCUUGUUGGUGAGGUAAUGGCUUACCAAGGCGACGACGGGUAGCCGGCCUGAGAGGGUGACCGGCCACACUGGGACUGAGACACGGCCCAGACUCCUACGGGAGGCAGCAGUGGGGAAUAUUGCACAAUGGGCGCAAGCCUGAUGCAGCGACGCCGCGUGAGGGAUGACGGCCUUCGGGUUGUAAACCUCUUUCAGUAGGGAAGAAGCGAAAGUGACGGUACCUGCAGAAGAAGCGCCGGCUAACUACGUGCCAGCAGCCGCGGUAAUACGUAGGGCGCAAGCGUUAUCCGGAAUUAUUGGGCGUAAAGAGCUCGUAGGCGGUUUGUCGCGUCUGCCGUGAAAGUCCGGGGCUCAACUCCGGAUCUGCGGUGGGUACGGGCAGACUAGAGUGAUGUAGGGGAGACUGGAAUUCCUGGUGUAGCGGUGAAAUGCGCAGAUAUCAGGAGGAACACCGAUGGCGAAGGCAGGUCUCUGGGCAUUAACUGACGCUGAGGAGCGAAAGCAUGGGGAGCGAACAGGAUUAGAUACCCUGGUAGUCCAUGCCGUAAACGUUGGGCACUAGGUGUGGGGGACAUUCCACGUUUUCCGCGCCGUAGCUAACGCAUUAAGUGCCCCG